AAGCACAUGAUGAUGUGUGAGUGACAAGCUGUUGGUCCUCUGAUCAAGAUCUCUGUUUCUGAAAUCUUCCUUUCCCACGGCCCCAGAGAUUUCUCAAACCUGCUGAUAUCUUAUCUCCUCCAGGACAUUGCUGGUGAUCUUAUCCGGUUCACUCUGUCCUCAGCCCAGUGUUCCUUUCAUAGUCAUUUCAUGGUCCUUUUACAGUCUAUUGGCCAUUGUCCUGCUAGAGUUGAUAUGUACACAUGGUAAAACGUGGGUGGAAAAGGCUCAUUCGUUCUCGAAUGUCACGAAAUAUUCAGAGAACCACACGAUUCUCUGAAUAAGUUCUCUGUCCUUGGAAGAAUUGUGACCACUGAGCACAUCUUGAGCCUAUAGAAAGUAGCUAGAGGUUGUUGGAAUGCUGCUUAAUAUUACUUGGAUUUAUGCCAAUGUAAGGUCUAAGGCACAUGACACAUGGACAAAAGAUGGGAAGCUGAGGAAGCUGAGUAGCUGAGCUCUCCCGGCUCUUUGGUUACUGACGUUAUAUUCCCAGGAAGCAAGGGCUCAGAGUCUUAGCUUGCCUGUCCAAUUCAAGAAUGAUCCUGUGUUCACUGUGGAAAAAUUGGUACCUUCAACAAAAGAAUGUUCCUUUACUGGUAUUGAGCUCCAGGAAGUUGAGCCUCCAAGUUCUAGAAAGGGGAAAUGGGGACGUAGGAUCUCCAGAACAGAUGUGCAAACUACUCCAGGAGCUUGGCUCUGAGGGAGAAAAAGUUAAUUCUUGCCAGUGAAGCCCAAAUGUGAAAGCUAAUAACCAGGAUGGGGAUGACAAGGAGACAGAAUGUUCUUUCCUGUCUGCUUCGCACCAGGGUGUUGCUCUAGUAAAUCAUCCUGCAGAGGCAAUCAGCACACCUGUUAAGUGAGCCUUGGCAUUUAAUUGGCCUUAUCAGCUCCCGCACAGACACAGACAAUGGAUGGCUCCCGAGUGUGAGCAGGGCACAUUUGCAUUUCCUAGACAAUUGGGAGGAUGCAAAUAGAAUCCAGUUAAUCUGCAGCAUCCCCCUGGAUGACACACCUGGCUGGAGCAGUGAGUGCUUGGCUUCCAGCAGUCUGGGGAGCCCAGGGACUCUGUGGAAAUCAGAAAGGAAGCUCCUGAAUGACCUCAAGUGCUGUUUGCUUGGGUAGUCAUGAAGGAAUCAGGUGUAAGCGCUAGCUGGAUGGUUCCAGGACUGAUAAGUAGGAAGCACAUCAGGCUGUCUUGGAGGCUUCGGUUCCUGCUUUGCUGAUCCCACCAGUUUACUGCACCCUCAAAUUUAGGUGCUUACCUUUUGUCUUUUACAGGUCAUUUUUUUGGCACAGCUUGAAUACUAUAGUGAACUGUAGUCUAUUGGUGGCUAAUCUGGGUUCUGGUUAUCUAAACUGGAUAUCAGAAGUCAUUACAUACCUAACGAACAUCUCGAUGGUCCAUGUUUUAGGAUCAUCUAGGCAUAGGAGUUCCUUUCAGUGAAAUUGAACUGUUCUUAAAAAUCGAGUAACAAUGCUCGUGAGUUUCUUUAGUGGGUGAAGGGCUGGGCUAGCAAACCAGAAUCCAUAUGUUCAAUUCUCCACACUACCAAAAGUGGGAUAGCAUGCCAUCCUGUUAUCCUUGACACUGCAAAGGCUGAAGCUGGAGGACCAGGACUUGCAGCUCAUCCUUGACUUUGGGCAGCUCGUGGCCUAUCUAGACCACAGUAUAACAGAGCUUGUUUCAAAACAGCCAAAGAAAGGUUGGAUCUUUCUAAAUUCCAGCACUCAGGAGAUAGCAGCAGAUGGAUCAAGUUCAAGGUUAUUGUUACUGACAUUGUAAGAUCAAGAACAGCCUGGAUCACUUGAGAUGUUGUCCAAAAAUGAGAAUUGCAGAGCAUAGUGGGGUCAGUUAUAUAAUCGUUAUACAACUAUAGCUCAUUGAUUUAGGCAUACACAUUGGUGGACUAUAAAAGCAUGUUCUCCAGCUGGGUCCUACCUCCAAUCUCUCUAAACAGCAUCACUACCUAGGGAACAAUGAGUCUGUGCAACCAUUUUUACGUUCAAGUCAUAACAAUCACACUUAUUCCUGUCCCUUUGAUGUUUAUAAGUUCUAUAAUGUGUUCUCAUUUUCCAUAUUGACAAUAUGAAUACUUCUUGUGUUUCUUAUUUUUACAUUGCUUAAUUGAUGUUUAUCAAUUUUAUAUAUCUUUCUAUAAGACAAUUUUGUCUCAUUGUUUUAUAUGUAAUUUUCUUGUUUUCAAUUUCACUAAUUUCCAUGAUCUCUUUAAUAUAGUUUAAAGCUUAGAUUGAUGUAAUUUUUGUCUCUGUUUUCCUGUGCUAAAUAUCUGAUUAUCAAUUUUUGUUUUUAUUUAUUUUUAUUGUUUCAUAUAUACUUUUGCUGUAGGGUUUCCCCUGAGCAUGUUUUAGAUUUAGUCUAUCCACUUUGGAAAUUUGUAUUGCAUUUUUAUGAAAUAUAUCUUGAGACUUCUUUGAUCCAACUUUGAUUAAUAGUGUGCUUAAUUUAUAACCAGUUGGAAAUUAUUCAUUUCCUUUGCUGUCAUUGAUGCUCAUUUUAAUUCCAUUAUGAUUAGUGGGAAUAUUUGAAGAGUUUCUAUUGCUUUAAAUUUGUUUGGGUGAGAUCUGGGGAGAAGUUCAAGGAAUGACAGCAAGUCUCUUGUCUGUUUGCAAGAGACAGGUGGAUCACAGGAGCUCCCUGAACAGCCAUACUCACUGGACAGGACAGAAGCCUUGCCACAAAAAUGGAGGUAAAGAACUGCUAAAGAAGGUACUCUGCUUUGACCUCUGACCUCCACAUGUACAUAUACGUAGCACAAACCCAAUGUUCACAUUGUGUCUAUAGUUAUGAAUAUUCUCUGUAAACUUGAAAAAAAUCUGUACUAUGAUGCUAUCAGAUGAAGAAUUCUGUAGCUGCCAGUUAGACCAAGAUCAAUAGUUCAGGUCAUUUCUAUUCUUACUGAUGUUUCUGUCUUCAUGCUCUAUCAAUAACAAAAAGAGUAUUGGCAUGACCACUUACAAUAGUUUCACCUACUUUACCCUAUAGUUCUAUCAUUUUUUCAUCUAUUUUAAAUAGUGCUACUAGUUGCAAACACAAGUAUAUUUCUUCGAGUAUGUAGAUGUUGCAAUGGAUGUGGGUUCAAAAUGCUGUGGAAAUCUGGGCCGCAGAAUGGGGCCUUUAAGCCGAAACCUGAAAGCCUUAAAGCUCACAUGAUGAAAUUUCCAGUUGGAUAAAAUGGAAUAGCAAGCGGAGAAGAUACAGUAUCACAGAUGAAAGCAGUUCUACUAAAGUGUGUGUGUGCUUCUGGGAAAUAGUGGGCAAGAAGUCUGGUAUGUUAACAGGCUUAUUGAGAGAAGUGUGAAGGCUAAGGUUUUGAAAAUGAAUAAUGAGUAUAGGUUAUUAGAAUUGGAAGCCUGCAGGUUAAUACCAAUAAGAACAUUGGGAAUUUCUUCAAUCAGGAUUAAUUUUUGAAGGGAGUCACUCAAUAAUACAUUAUUGAACACUUGCUCUAGGCAAGGCCCACUGAAGGACAAAGAGAGGAGUACGGUUCAUCAUUCCCCCAUUAGACUGUUUGCCAAGGAGCUAAGGUGUGCCAGGCACAAGCAUGUUGAAGCCACCAUUCCUCUGUGCAUGCUUUCAUUCAAUCACAUGAAUCUUUAGUCAACUCUGGCACACAACACAUAAAAAUGAAUGAAUUUCAAACCAUGUUAUAACAUAGGAGGUCCUUGAAAAGUAUUUUGUUUAGUUUUAAAAGUCAUGCACGGUAAGCAAAUGUUAUAAGGAUAUUACAUUUAACACUCAGUCAAAUUCACAGUGACAGAAAGUAAAGAAAAAGCUAUUGAGGGUGCAUAAAAGUGGAACUAGCAUGUUAUUCACUUACUUUAUUGGACACAGUAUAAUUAUUAAGGAGAACUUAAUAAAUUUGGGAUAUAGAUAGCUGUAAUCUAUCGAGGGUGCAUAAGAGUGGAACUAGCAUGUUAUUCACUUAUUUUAUUGGACACAUUUUAAUUAUUAAGGAGAACUUAAUAAAUUUGGGAUAUAGAUAGCUGUAAUAGUAAUAGUUACAUGAUGUUGAAGGUGAUGUUUGCUUGAUACUGUAAACAACUUAGUGUCACUGUGUUCUAUUUAUAGAUUAAAUGAUAAUCCUGUUAUGUACAUGAUAAAAAAAUAAAUCAUUUUGGUUUCGUUCCUCCUGUACUGAUGUUUUUUCUAAAUGACCUGAUUUCUUAAUGCCUUCACCAGGUGCGGCCUCAGGUGUGAUAUUUUCAUGUUCUAUUUUUCAUGCCUUGUUUUCUUGUAAGUACAUUUUCUUAAUGCCUGAAUCUAAGGUCAUUGGCAGAAUACCAGAUACUACUUCAAAAUCUCAUCAUUCAGCUAUUCAUUUUACAUCUCUAUUGGGAUGUUAAUCACAACGCACACCAGUUAUGUUCUUUAUUUCCUCAUCCUACCCCCACUCAGUGAGCUCUGUUCUCUCACCUUUUAAUUUUCCUCAGAGCAAUACCUUCCUCACACUUGCUAACU